GGGACUUUGUUUUGUUUUUUUGUUGCAGUUUCGGUAUAGCAAGAUGGCCGGAAGAACAAUUUUCACGUGUGUUCACAAAUAUUAAGUUUUCCUUCUUGAUCCGACAGUAGGAAAUAUAUUAAAAUAGUCGUGAAUAAACCAAUAGAGUCCUGACAUUGUAACCAAAAUCGGGUGAGAAACUCUGGACACAUUUUCCACCGUCCGGAAGGGAAAUUUAUUGACCAAACUAAAGAGUCAGGAUUCUCCCGGAGGAGGAUGAGAUUGAAGGCGAUGAAAAGGCAGAUGCAUGGAUAUUUUUUUCACCCAGCAUCCGGCAAAACACCCAUGAGACAGAGCAUACGUGAGGGAUCUUAAAAUGGACACCAAACGAAAUGAACCAUACACCGGAACAAAGGAGCCCGGAAACACGCCGGGAAGAUGAGAAGUGUCCAAGUAUGAGAAUGCACAUUUAUAAUUUGUAUUAUCUACAGUGAAUAACUUGUUAAUUUAAUUAUGAACAUAUUGAUUAAAUAAAUAAAUGGGA